rnacentral:rRNA from 1 species
UACGGAGGGGGCUAGCGUUGUUCGGAAUUACUGGGCGUAAAGGGCGCGUAGGCGGCCCGCCAAGUCCGGCGUGAAAGUCCUGGGCUCAACCCGGGGACGGCGCUGGAGACUGGCGGGCUGGAGUCCGGGAGAGGGUGGCGGAAUUCCCAGUGUAGAGGUGAAAUUCGUAGAUAUUGGGAAGAACACCGGUGGCGAAGGCGGCCACCUGGCCCGGGACUGACGCUGAGGCGCGAAAGCGUGGGGAGCAAAC